AACGUAGGUGGCGAGCGUUAUCCGGAUUUACUGGGCGUAAAGCGCACGUAGGCGGAUCGUUAAGUCGGGGGUGAAAUCCUGGAGCUCAACUCCAGAACUGCCUUCGAUACUGGCGAUCUCGAGUCCGGAAGAGGUGAGUGGAACUCCUAGUGUAGAGGUGGAAUUCGUAGAUAUUAGGAAGAACACCAGUGGCGAAGGCGGCUCACUGGUCCGGUACUGACGCUGAGGUGCGAAAGCGUGGGGAGCAAACAGGG
rnacentral:rRNA from 1 species